rnacentral:rRNA from 1 species
GGUUAAGCGACUAAGCGUACACGGUGGAUGCCCUCGGCAGUCAGAGGCGAUGAAGGACGUGCUAAUCUGCGAAAAGCGUCGGUAAGGUGAUAUGAACCGUUAUAACCGGCGAUGUCCGAAUGGGGAAACCCAGUGCAAUUCGUUGCACUAUCGUUAACUGAAUACAUAGGUUAACGAGGCGAACCGGGGAACUGAAACAUCUAAGUACCCCGAGGAAAAGAAAUCAACCGAGAUUCCCCAGUAGCGGCGAGCGAACGGGGAGCAGCCCAGAGUCUGAAUCAGCUUGUGUGUUAGUGGAACGGUCUGGAAAGUCCGACGGUACAGGGUGAUAGUCCCGUACACCAAAAUGCACAGGCUGUGAACUCCGAAGAGUAGGGCGGGACACGUGGUAUCCUGUCUGAAUAUGGGGGACCAUCCUCCAAGGCUAAAUACUCCUGACUGACCGAUAGUGAACCAGUACCGUGAGGGAAAGGCGAAAAGAACCCCGGCGAGGGAGUGAAAAAGAACCUGAAACCGUGUACGUACAAGCAGUGGGAGCACCUUCGGGUGUGACUGCGUACCUUUGUAUAAUGGGUCAGCGACUUAUAUUCUGUAGCAAGGUUAACCGUAUAGGGAGCCGCAGGAAACCGAGUCUUAACUGGGCGUUAAGUUGCAGGGUAUAGACCCGAAACCCGGUGAUCUAGCCAUGGGCAGGUUGAAGGUUGGGUAACACUAACUGGAGGACCGAACCGACUAAUGUUGAAAAAUUAGCGGAUGACUUGUGGCUGGGGGUGAAAGGCCAAUCAAACCGGGAGAUAGCUGGUUCUCCCCGAAAGCUAUUUAGGUAGCGCCUCGUGAACUCAUCUUCGGGGUAGAGCACUGUUUCGGCUAGGGGUCAUCCCGACUUACCAACCCGAUGCAAACUACGAAUACCGAAGAAUGUUAUCACGGGAGACACACGGCGGGUGCUAACGUCCGUCGUGAAGAGGGAAACAACCCAGACCGCCAGCUAAGGUCCCAAAGUCAUGGUUAAGUGGGAAACGAUGUGGGAAGGCACAGACAGCCAGGAUGUUGGCUUAGAAGCAGCCAUCAUUUAAAGAAAGCGUAAUAGCUCACUGGUCGAGUCGGCCUGCGCGGAAGAUGUAACGGGGCUAAACCAUGCACCGAAGCUGCGGCAGCGACACUAUGUGUUGUUGGGUAGGGGAGCGUUCUGUAAGCCUGCGAAGGUGUGCUGUGAGGCAUGCUGGAGGUAUCAGAAGUGCGAAUGCUGACAUAAGUAACGAUAAAGCGGGUGAAAAGCCCGCUCGCCGGAAGACCAAGGGUUCCUGUCCAACGUUAAUCGGGGCAGGGUGAGUCGACCCUAAGGCGAGGCCGAAAGGCGUAGUCGAUGGGAAACAGGUUAAUAUUCCUGUACUUGGUGUUACUGCGAAGGGGGACGGAGAAGGCUAUGUUAGCCGGGCGACGGUUGUCCCGGUUUAAGCAUGUAGGCUGAUUGUCCGAGGCAAAUCCGGAUAAUCAAGGCUGAGGUGUGAUGACGAGGCACUACGGUGCUGAAGUAACAAAUGCCCUGCUUCCGAGGAAAAGCCUCUAAGCAUCAGGUAACAUUAAAUCGUACCCCAAACCGACACAGGUGGUCAGGUAGAGAAUACCAAGGCGCUUGAGAGAACUCGGGUGAAGGAACUAGGCAAAAUGGUGCCGUAACUUCGGGAGAAGGCACGCUGGUGUGUAGGUGAAGUCCCUGCGGAUGGAGCUGAGACCAGUCGAAGAUACCAGCUGGCUGCAACUGUUUAUUAAAAACACAGCACUGUGCAAACACGAAAGUGGACGUAUACGGUGUGACGCCUGCCCGGUGCCGGAAGGUUAAUUGAUGGGGUUAUCCGUAAGGAGAAGCUCUUGAUCGAAGCCCCGGUAAACGGCGGCCGUAACUAUAACGGUCCUAAGGUAGCGAAAUUCCUUGUCGGGUAAGUUCCGACCUGCACGAAUGGCGUAAUGAUGGCCGGGCUGUCUCCACCCGAGACUCAGUGAAAUUGAACUCGCUGUGAAGAUGCAGUGUACCCGCGGCAAGACGGAAAGACCCCGUGAACCUUUACUAUAGCUUGACACUGAACAUUGAGCCUUGAUGUGUAGGAUAGGUGGGAGGCUUUGAAGCGUGGACGCCAGUCUGCGUGGAGCCAACCUUGAAAUACCACCCUUUAAUGUUUGAUGUUCUAACGUUGGCCCCUGACCGGGGUUGCGGACAGUGUCUGGUGGGUAGUUUGACUGGGGCGGUCUCCUCCCAAAGCGUAACGGAGGAGCACGAAGGUUAGCUAAUCCCCGGUCGGACAUCAGGAGGUUAGUGCAAUGGCAUAAGCUAGCUUGACUGCGAGCGUGACGGCGCGAGCAGGUGCGAAAGCAGGUCAUAGUGAUCCGGUGGUUCUGAAUGGAAGGGCCAUCGCUCAACGGAUAAAAGGUACUCCGGGGAUAACAGGCUGAUACCGCCCAAGAGUUCAUAUCGACGGCGGUGUUUGGCACCUCGAUGUCGGCUCAUCACAUCCUCGGGGCUGAAGUAGGUCCCAAGGGUAUGGCUGUUCGCCAUUUAAAGUGGUACGCGAGCUGGGUUUAGAACGUCGUGAGACAGUUCGGUCCCUAUCUGCCGUGGGCGCUGGAGAAUUGAGGGGGCUGCUCCUAGUACGAGAGGACCGGAGUGGACGCAUCACUGGUGUUCGGGUUGUCAUGCCAAUGGCACUGCCCGGUAGCUAAAUGCGGAAGAGAUAAGUGCUGAAAGCAUCUAAGCACGAAACUUGCCCCGAGAUGAGUUCUCCCUGAGACUUUAAGUCUCCUGAAGGAACGUUAAAGACGAUGACGUUGAUAGGCCGGGUGUGUAAGCGCAGCGAUGCGUUGAGCUAACCGGUACUAAUGAACCGUGAGGCUUAACCUU